rnacentral:rRNA from 1 species
CAGUAGCCGCGGUAAUACGUAGGUGGCAAGCGUUGUCCGGAAUUAUUGGGCGUAAAGGGCUCGCAGGCGGUUUCUUAAGUCUGAUGUGAAAGCCCCCGGCUCAACCGGGGAGGGUCAUUGGAAACUGGGAAACUUGAGUGCAGAAGAGGAGAGUGGAACUCCACGUGUAGCGGUGGAAUGCGUAGAGACGUGGAGGAACACCAGUGGCGAAGGCGACUCUCUGGUCUGUAACUGACGCUGAGGAGCGAAAGCGUGGGGAGCGAACAGGAUUAGAUACCCGAGUAGUCCCUGUCUCUUAUAC